UGUAUAAUUGGUUAGAUCUAGCUACUUCAGAUAAGAAAGCUCAUGCAGCUGUUCAGACUCCUGUUGAAUCAGGGUCCAACAAAAACUACUGAUAUUCCAUGGGUUGCUUUAAUUGGUCAAUCAGUUUCAAUAGCCUCUGCACAGUCACGAUCUAAAAGCUCACUGGAAACUGCAUGGAGGGUAGAGACUAGAGAGUGAAAGUCUUAGAUCUAUACUUGGUGGAGCCCCUCAAAGCCGGCUAGGCAUAAUAGCUUUGGUAGAUGCUGUGGCACAUCAGAUUUGCAAGCAUAUGAAAGUUUGGCUACCAAACCUCCUUUCUGGGUAGACCGUGUCCUGGUAGCAAUAGUUUCUGCUUCUGUUAAUGCUACACCAGGACUAGGAAGAUACCCUCCUUUCAAGAGAGAGGUAUAGCAUGAUGAGUUAUUUCACAUAUUGUAUGCCUGUGCAAGCCUUUGCCAUAGUUUAAGUUCUUAUUUUUCUUUUUGUGAUGUUAGUAAUAUUGCUACUUGCAGAUAUUUCCCAUAGCUUAAGUCCUCAUUUUUAUUUUUGGUAAUGUUAAUUGUAUUCAAUCUAGUAAAGGUCAUAGUUAUUACUACUACUGCUCUUGAGGGGUUUAAGAAUGAACUGAAAAAGAUGGUUGUUGCACUAGUGGAUAUGGAGCGGGCAUUUAUUCCUCCCCAACACUUCAGUGACUUGGAAUUGCUGGUCUUGGAGAUCUUGAAAGUCACAAGACCAUCUAGGCCCUGAAGAUUUGGAAUUGCUUUGAAGUUGAAUAGUAGGGAAACAUUCAGUGAUUUCUUUGUACACUAGUUCCUUUCUGUAUGGCGUAUCUAUCAACUUAACAUUAAGGAACUUAAUUUCCCCCAUAUUGGCAGUUGGAUUCCAUGUUACAAAAUACAGAAUUAUUAAGGGGAUGUACAGGCUUGGUGCAGACAAGCCUCUGAUGAACAAUCUGUGGACAACACAACGAAUGAUUACUGAAUUUGGUGUUUUUUGUCGAAGAAAAGUUCAAAAAUGAUGGAUGGAGCAAACAAUGAUUUGUUUUGAAUGAGAAGACGGGGAAGGUUUAUAACACAUUGCUCUAAUAUGUGCCUUUGUUACUUUUCUUGAAUCAUGCUACAUUUGUGCUCACUUGCUGUGCAUUAUCCAUUAGAAGAUCUGGACUUACUGCAAAGCUCAAAACUUGUUUGGCCAUUAUGCAUUUAUUUUAUACCCAUAUAGAUAUUCUCGACUUUAUUACCUUGGCACUGCAUAGGAUGCACAAGUCCAGAAGAUAAGUAAUUGUGUGCCUACACCAGAGGGAAGACACACCCCACUCCUUAAAUUCAAUUGCAUUCUGUUUUGAUAGUUGAGGCAUUACUAUAUAGAGUUGGAGGUUUCUAAAGUUAUGGGUCAUUUAGGACUAAGGGUAGAGGUAAUAUGUGAGGCUGCAAAUGAAUCAAGUAUUAGCAAACUCUGGCUUAGCUCAUUUGUAGAAGAAAUAUUAACUUUAUGCUUAGGCUCAGCAUAGUUAUUAGAUGACUCAAGGUAAGCUUGUCUUGUACUUGUUUGUUAAAUGAGCCAAACUCAUGGUGAAGUUUUUAUUAUUAGGAUUAAGUUGUAAAUAAAUCAUAGGGGAUAAAUGUUCUUUAUGGUAAAAAGUUGGCGGCAAAGUGUUCAUUAUGGUAAAACUAAGGGAUGAAUUUUUCAAAUGUUGAAGUGCAAAUCUCUUCCAUCUUUUUCAAUAACACAGCUAGAUGAUGGAAUUGAU